AAACUUUUAACAACGGAUCUCUUGGCUCUCGCAUCAAUGAAGAACGCAGCGAAAUGCGAUAAGUAAUGUGAAUUGCAGAAUUCAGUGAAUCAUCGAAUCUUUGAACGCACCUUGCGCCCUUUGGUAUUCCGAAGGGCAUGCCUGUUUGAGUGUCAU
rnacentral:rRNA from 1 species